UCCAAAAAUCAUCUUCUUUGCGGUGGUGACUCUGCUGAGCUGCUGCCAGGCGUCAAGUUCCUUCUUAUCCCGCGUCACUCGAACAAGUGAUGCCAUCAUUAUUGACUUUCCUGACGCCUAUCCAUAUUCGAACUAGUUACUUCAAGCCAUGCGUUAUUUAAUGUACCAAUGCGUACCGCUUGGAAAUUUUUUAAAUAAAUAUUAACUCAAGCAAGCAAA